rnacentral:lncRNA from 1 species
UAGUUCUUGAGAUUAUUACGGGUAAAAAAAAUGCUCAUUCAUAUGAAUCCCACCGCAUGGAAGAAGGUCUCAUGACUGAGGUGAGUAUUAGAGUUUGUUUUCUGUUAUGAGUAGUUUGUUUUCUGUUAUGAGUAGUUUUUAGUUUUCCCGUACCCUUGAGCCUAACCUUUAAAAGGUUAGAUUUUUCCCUUCCUUUAGUUGGUUGUUUAGUUUUCAGUACAUUCANAAUAUAAGAAACACACAUACUNUAANAUCAUNACUNANUAAUGAAAGUUGGAGUUUCUCACCUCUUCGUGCUUCUCACAUCACGAUCUAUCUCUUUCUCUCUUACGCCUCUUGCAACAGCAGCCUUCCGGUUCAUCUACGGUGGCUUCUCUCUCUAGCUUCACGGAGUCGCCCUUCAGAGCCUCUCUCUCUACCAUCAUUGCAUCAGACGUGUUUUGGAGUUUCUGGAAAACUCUCUCUCUGUCCACGUGUUUCACUUUUCUGUUUUCUAAAGAAAAGGCUUUUGGGCCUCUUGUUAUUGGGCCUAUUUCAUUAUGGUAUCAGAAGUGCAACNUGUUUCUUGAGUGUUCUUGGUUUCUUGUUACGUUCUUGAAGUGUUCUUGGUUUCUUGUUACGUUCUUGAGUGUUCUUGGUUUCUUGUUACGCUCUUGCCAUGACAGAACUAAAUUCUGAUCCCACCACUAAUCCCUCUAGCCCUUACUAUCUGCAUCCUGGAGAAAAUCCAGGCAUCACUCUCAUUUCCCAGGUUCUCACUAAGUCUAAUUACUCAUCAUGGAGCAGAAACUUAAAACGUGCUCUUCUGUCAAAGAACAAAGUCAAAUUCAUUGAUGGCAGCAUACAAAAGCCUGCCAAGACGGACAAGUUAUUUGAAGCAUGGGAAAGAUGUGAUACUAUGGUUCUUUCUUGGAUUAUCAAGAUCCUGUCACCCCAAAUUGUUGACAGCGUUCUUUAUUCUGACACUGCCCAAGAACUUUGGGAAGAACUCAAAGACCGUUUUUCUAAGGGUGACUAUUUCAAAAUUUCAGAUCUUUUACAAGAUAUAUAUUCUAUAAAGCAGGGAGAACGAAAUAUAAGUCAUUAUUACACUGAUUUGAAAAUUCUCUAGGAGGAACUUGAAUCUCUCAGGCCUCUACCCACUUGCACCUGUCCUACCCCAUGCACUUGUGAUCUAUCCAAAAUCUCCCUCAAAUACAGAGAGGCUGAACAUGUUAUUUGUUUUUUAAACGGUCUCAAUGACACCUAUCAAACUGUUCGCACUCAAAUUCUCCUCAUGGAGCCUCUUCCACACAUAAACAAGGUUUUUUCUUUGCUAAUGCAACAAGAGCAACAGCUUCAGGACAGGGGAGGCACAAAUGACACCUUCAAGAUUUUAGCCAACACAUCUGACAAGAUAAAUUGGAGAGGUCAAGGCUGUGGCAUAAAUUCACGUGGCCAGGGAAGAGGCAUAGGAAGAAAUCCCAAUUAUGGGAAACAAUGUUCCCAUUGUCACAAGAUGAAUCAUACCAUCGACGAGUGCUAUUCUAAACACGGUUUUCCACCAUGGUAUAAGAAGAUUGACCAUCAAAACAGUUAGGACAGGGGAGGCCACAGUGAAUGGGGCUAUGCUAAUGUUUGCAAAGAAGACUCAAAUCCUACCCAGACUCAAAGUACUCAUCAAGAAAACCAGAGAAAUUCUAUGCAGGUUUUUACCCCUGAACAAAUGCAGAAACUGCUGUAAAUCAUAGAGAAUCCGCAGACACAAAACACUCACAGCAUCAGUCAAAUCCAAAAAAACACUCCUGGAGAAGAUUCAGGUACUUUCUCCUGGAUUAUUGACACAGGGGCCACUGAUCAUGUGACCCAUGAAAAGAAAUACUUCAUUACUUUUCAGAAAAUUAAACCUAUAACAGUCAAACUUCCAAAUAAUUCUGUGGUUACANCCCANUAUGNUGNAACUAUUCAAUUUUNUNAAAAUCUUAUCAUUUUUAAUGUUCUCUACAUUCCUGAAUUCUCAUUUAAUCUCAUAUCUGUACAAAGCCUAACAAGAGAUUUAAACUGUGUUCUAACCUUUUCUUCUAAGACCUGCCAGAUUCAGGACAACUCUACCUUGAAGAUGAUUGGGCAUGCUAAAGUUUUCAAGGGCCUCUACUAUCUUCAAUCUUUUCCUAUUUUUACCCAUUUUUUUUGUUUCCAAGACUGUUCUUUCUUGUAAACAUGUUAGUGAUGAUCUAUGGCACUAUAGAUUAGGACAUCCAGGACACAAAGUUAUAGAACAAAUCUGCAAAAGUUUUCCCUAUGUUCAAAUGCCAUCUAAAAUUGUUUGUGAUGUUUGUCAUUAUGCCAAGCAACAUAAACUGCCCUUUUCUCAAAGCAUGACUGUUUCUGCUAAUUGUUUUGAUCUAAUACACUGUGAUAUAUGGGGACCCAUUUCUAUACCUUCUAUACACGGUCACAAAUACUUUCUUACUAUAGUAGACGAUUAUAGUAGACACACCUGGACUUUUUUAAUGCACAAUAAAGGACAAACUAGAGAAUUGUUGCAGAAUUUUGUCUUAAAAAUCAAAAAUCAGUUUGGAAAAUUUAUUAAAACUCUUAGAUCUGAUAAUGGUCCUGAGUUUANUUGUAUUAAUAUGUAUAAUUCCUAUGGUAUUGAACAUCAAAGAAGUUGUGUUGAGACACCCCAACAAAACUCUAUUGUUGAACGAAAACAUCAAGACAUUCUAAAUAAAACUAGAAGUCUUCUUUUUCAAUCUGGAAUUCCUACUGCCUAUUGGUGCUAUGUUGUUUCUCAUGUUGUUUACUUGAUAAAUAGGCUACCUACUUCUGUCCUUAAUGGUAAAACACCUUAUGACUUGAUGUAUAACACACCUCCCACUUAUUUGAACUUGAAAACCUUUGGUUGUCUUUGUUUUGCUUCAACUUUAGAACAUAACAGACACAAGCUUGAUUCUAGAGCUAGGAAAGGUGUUUUCUUGGGAUACAAAAAUGGAGUGAAAGGAUAUAUUAUACUUGAUAUUAAUACUAGAGAGAUUUUCCUAAGCAGAAAUGUUGUUUUUCAUGAGAAUGUUUUUCCUUAUAAAAGUCAACAAGACAUUGAGCAAAAUUAUACUGAAAGGGAUAUUGAAAUUGUUUUUCCAAAUAAUUUCUGGUAUGAUCCUAACUAUAAUGAGACUCAAGAUUAUCUAGAGGAUGUUAAUACUGAACAAGAACCUGAUUACACAGAAAAUACUGGGAUUGGUACUGGAAACAGUCAUACUAAUAUUGAUAAUAACCCUAGACGACCCACUAGGACAAAAAGGGUUCCUAAAUAUCUUAAUGAUUACAUUCAUCAAGUUAAUCAAUCUUCUCUGCAUGCUAAAAAUAACUACAAAACCCCAUAUCCUAUUUCUAAUGUUUUGUGUUAUGAUUCUUUGUCUGAAAGACAUUUAAAAUAUACUCUAGCCAUUUCUGCUGACAAGGAGCNUAGAUCCUAUAAGGAAGCCAAGGAAAAGUAUGAGUGGGUUACAGCUAUGCAGAAAGAACUUCAAGCUUUACAAGACAAUGGAACUUGGACAUUAACUCAACUACCUCCAGGUAAAAACUCCAUUGGAUGCAGGUGGGUUUACAAAAUAAAAUAUAAAGCAGAUGGCAGCAUAGAAAGAUACAAAGCUCGGCUUGUGGCCAAAGGAUAUACACAACAAGAAGGUAUUUUCACCUGUUGCUAAGCUUACUACUGUCAGAAUAAUUCUGGCAACUGCUGCUGCCAAGAAUUGGCAUCUACAUCAACUUGAUAUAGAUAAUGCCUUUCUUCAUGGGGACUUAAAUGAAGAAGUGUACAUGGAACCACCACUAGGGUUGGAUAUUAAGGAAGGUCAGGUUUGUAGGUUAACCAAAUCCCUAUAUGGGCUCAAACAAGCCAACAGACAAUGGUUUGAUAAACUUUCUUCCUUUUUAAUUUCUGUUAACUAUACUCAAUCCAAAUCUGACCACUCUCUUUUUAUUAAGAAUACUCCUAUAAGUUAUACAGCCCUUCUUAUGUAUGUAGAUGACAUUAUUUUGGCAGAAAAUUCUAUCAAAGAGAUUGAUCAUAUCAAGGCUCUUCUUCAUCAUGCCUUUCGAAUUAAAAAUCUAGGAGAGCUAAAGUAUUUUCUGGGGCUUGAAGUUGCUAGAUCAAAGAAAGGAAUACAUUUAUGCCAACGAAAAUAUGCUUUAGACAUCCUUGAAGACACGGGAAUGCUAGGAUCCUUGCACAACUCCAUUUUUGAGUGACAUCAACUCUUUAUACAAAAAUGAAAAUUACUUGGAAGAUCCUAAGCCCUACAGGAGGUUAAUAGGGAAGCUUCUUUACCUUACUAAUACUAGACCUAACAUAUGUUUCUCUGUUAAUUUACUUAGUCAAUUUGUUCACUCUCCUACUGAAUAUCACUAUCGGGCUUUGCAGCAUAUGCUUAGAUAUAUUAAGUCCAGUCCUUCACAAGGCAUCUUUUUUGCUGCUGAUUCUAAUAUCCAGAUCAAAGCUUUCAGUGACUCAGACUGGGCUACUUGUCCUAAUACGAGAAGAUCUACCACUGGAUUUUGCAUUUUUCUUGGAUCUUCUCUUGUAUCAUGGAAAACUAAAAAGCAAAGCACUGUUUCCAGGUCGUCCACCGAAGCAGAGUAUCGAGCACUGGCUGCUACUGUUUGUGAAAUCCAAUGGAUUUCCUACAUCCUACAAGAUCUCAAUAUUGAGACCACUACCAUUGCUACUCUCUACUGCGACAAUAAGUCUGCCAGACAUAUUGCUCAUAAUCAAAGCUACCAUGAAAGAACUAAACACAUUGAACUCGAUUGUCACGUUGUUCAUGAGAAGAUUCAAGCGAAUCUCCUUCACCUUCUGCCUAUUCGUUCUAACGAACAGCUUGCAGACAUUUUUACUAAAUUCCCUCACCGUGUUCGUUUUUAGUUUAUUGUUCCUAAGCUUGGAUUGGUAAAUUUACACAAUCCAGCUUAAAGGGAGGCUAUUAGAGUUUGUUUUCUAUUAUGAGUAGUUUGUUUUCUGUUAUGAGUAGUUUUUAGUUUUCCCGUACCCUUGAGCCUAACCUUUAAAAGGUUAGAUUUUUCCCUUCCUUUAGUUGGUUGUUUAGUUUUCAGUACAUUCAGAAUAUAAGAAACACACAUACUGUAAAAUCAUAACUGAAUAAUGAAAGUUGGAGUUUCUCACCUCUUCGUGCUUCUCACAUCACGAUCUAUCUCUUUCUCUCUUACGCCUCUUGCAACAGCAGCCUUCCGGUUCAUCUACGGUGGCUUCUCUCUCUAGCUUCACGGAGUCGCCCUUCAAAGCCUCUCUCUACCAUCAUUGCAUCAGACGUGUUUUGGAGUUUCUAGAAAACUCUCUCUGUCCACGUGUUUCACUUUUCUGUUUUCUAAAGAAAAGGCUUUUGGGCCUCUUGUUAUUGGGCCUAUUUCAGUGUUCUAACUUUUUACAUAGGGUAAAUUAGAUUCAUACAUGUUAUAUAUAACCAAAUUUCUCUUUAUCUCUCCUUUUUUUUUUCUAUAUAGUAUUUAACAAAUAUAUACUAACACUAAUUAUAAUUAUAUAUUAACACCUCUUAAUUGUUUGAAAAAUAUUAUAACGUACAUCCUUACAGGAAAGUUUGUUGUCAAGGGUAAAAUAAUAAGAAUUGUGGUCACCAAAAUGAAAGUGUAUAAGAAAAAAAAUGAUUUGAGUAGAAGAAAAAGUAAGAAUUGAAUAUUUAGUUAAUUUGAUAUUUAUUACAGGUGUGGAGAGAAUGGAAGAAUGAAAGACCAAUGGGUAUAUUGGAUCAAAAUAUGAAAGAAAAUUAUAGUGAAAGUGAAGUUGUUAGAUGCCUUCAAAUUGGUUUAUUAUGUGUUCAAGAGAAUCCAAAUAUUAGACCUACGAUGGGAAGAGUAGUUUCCUAUCUUAAUAAUCAUUCAUUAGAAUUGCCAUCACCUCAAGAACCUGCAUUUUUCUCACACGGAAUAGAUAAAAGAGCUAUGCAGCAAGGAUCAAGUUCCAGCUUUUCUGCAAACAGUUCCAUGCCAUUCUCUGUCAACGAGAUGUCUACUAGUAAUUUUUAUCCUCGAUAAUAUACUUUUAUUUUAUUAUAAUUAAUGUCUUUAUUGUAUAGAUAUCCAUCCUCUGUUAACUUUGUUAAGGAUAUGAUCAUUUUCAAAGGACGAAUUAGAUAAUUAUGAAAUAUUUUUUUAUUAACUCUUUAUUUAUAUGUAAAUCACUGUUCAUGUAAAGGAAGUAUUACCUAUUUUCUUUCCUAUAUUGUCUCUUCUCUCUUGAUGUUUGAUGUGAAAUUUUUCUUUGUUUUCAUAUUUUUUUAUUUGUAUAUAUUUCAUAGUAAGUUUCCU